UCGGUGUAGUGCCGUAAGAUGGCGUCGGUGUAGUGCCGUAAGUUGGUGUCGGUGUCAGUGUCGGGUUGUAGCCUCCUCCUGACCCAUGCGUGGGAGUUGGUGAGCCCCCAUCUGGUAAGGUAUACAGAAUUGCAGCUAUCAGUACCGUGAAAUCUAGAUAGCAUGAAGUUGCUUUGCAUUGUUCUCAGUCCUUAUUGCCUAGAAACGAUGCUGUUUAUGUUCAGCACAAAUUCAUUUCAUGUUUGCAUUAGCUAGGUAGAUGCAGUAUGCAGUGAUCUGCCUAUCCAUGGAUCGCUGUAAUAGAUGCAGUGCAGUGCUACUCUAUGAAGUACUAAUAAAUACAGUGCUACACAGAAGGGAUGGGGUUAAAACAUACAGUGGGUCUUCUGCUCAUGCAACUCUCCCAGGCUCCUGCACGAGCUCAGUGAAACAAGCCCCACCAAGACGGCACUCAUCAGAAGAACCUUGCCACCCAUAUUGCUCUCAGUGUGUGCAGACAGGACAGAAUAAGCAACUGAACUGAACUGGUGGAGAUGCUUGAGUUGAUGAACUGAAGGGUCUCUAGAUGCCUAUUUAUACACGAGAGUGGCACUCGACAGUUGUGUUGAUUCCAUUGCAUUUGCAUGCAUGAACCUGUAUAUGUUCAUCACACUGUUAGUAGUUGGCUAUCAAUUAAUGGCUUCGAUUCGUCCAGCUAGCCAGGCAUGACGGUGAUCUGCUCGCACUCUCGACCAAGCUUCCACUGCUUCUUUCUGUACGGAAUGGAAUACUCUCCGGUCCCGAAGAUUUAAUUGUGAUCGGCGCUUGCCAACUACUCGGUGUACUUAAACUAUGCAUCGAGCUGGAUUUGAUGCUCUGACUCCAGAAUAGAAUUUGGGAAAUCCAAUUGAAACAUGGUGGGGUAUGUUUUCUUGCUUCUACUGGAAUCUGGAGGCCCUGGAUGAUCCCAACCCAUUUUACUCUUGCAUUUUUUUUGUGUUACUGAAGCUGUGUUUUGGUCCAACUGGAAGGUGGUGAUUCGGUCUGCUUUUGCUACAAGUCUAACACCUGUAAACGUCGUGCAUUUCAUCUUUAGAUAAAUGUGAACAAGGAAUUUUGCUUAUUACCACAGAUUUGUGUUGCA